ACAAAACAUUAAAAAAGAAAAAAGAGACAAUCACAUUAAUACCCCGCCUACUCCCACUUUUUUCAAACUCUCAAUUUUCCUUCCGUAUCUCUUUUUGUUUUUAAACGGUGGCUCUUGUGUCUCUUAAACUCAAAAACUGAGGAUGGAGGGUUGAAGCAUAGGACGGGAAAGAGAUGAAAAAAGGUGGUCAGAGUGGUUUAAAGAGAAUUUAAGCAAAGUCCUGAUGCCGAGGCUGACUCUUCUUCAAAGUCUCAAAAGAAGAGAAAUCACGUGUAGUUGAAAUGGUAGGACAGAGAUGUAUUUCAGUCCUAUCUCUCUACUCAUUUCUCUUCACUCUUCAGCUUCCUCAAGUUUCAAAAUAUUGGGGAGUCUACUUUUGUUUGAUCCGGAUGAUCCGACUCGACCGAAUAAUAUUACAACUUAGCUCUCCGAAGUGGUUGGUGCCAUUGGCAUUGUUUGAGACAGAUUUGAUGUUUUGAUCCAUUUAGCUGGCCUAAAAGCUGUUGGGGAGAGUGUUGCAAACCCUCGCCAUUCUUUCAAUAACAAUUUGAUUCACACUAUUAAUCUUUAUGAGGUUAUGGCAAAAUAUGAUUGCAAAAAGCUUUUUCUUGAAGAAAUUGCUUGAGAUAUUCAUAAGGCGGAGUCAGAUUGGAAAAUUAUGUCUCAGAUACUUCAAUCCUGUUGGGGCUCAUGAGAGUGGUAGAAUUGGUGAAGAUCCAAAGGGCAUCCCAAACAAUCUCAUGCCAUAUAUACAGCAAGUAGCUGUUGGCAGAUUGCCUGAGCUUAACGUGUAUGGUCAUGAUUAUCCCACGAAGGAUGGUAGUGUGGUCCAAGACUACAUCGAUGUCAUGGACUUGGCUGAUGGUCACAUUGCUGCAGCCUGCUCUUCGGAAGCUUUUUACUAAAGAGGAUAUAGGUUGCCUGAAAGAUGAUGCAUUUUAGUUCAGCAACAAAAUGACAGUCUGCACAGUGAUAAAUGGGUAAAACAGUGGGUAUCUUUCUUCCUCACAACUCACAAGCAAGAUGGAGAUUGAGAUUGCAAUGGAGACAUGUGAAGGCUUUUCCAUUGGAUUUAAUACUCUUUUCCGGUUGAGACAACUUAAAUGUGUCCCUCAUUGAAGAUUUUAAAAUUUUUUUAAUCCAACUUUAGAGGGAACGG